UUGUUUAAACUACUCAGCCUGGGGUAAUUUGUUAAAGUAACCUAAACUAAGACAGCUUUUCUAAGACAGCCUCUCAAAUCAAUUUUCAGAUUCCUGAAGUGAUUAAUGAGGUCAUAUAUCCUACCAGGAAAGCUAGGUGAACUUUACAAAUUAGAUCUUCCAGGCUUUGACUGCGGUACAGAAAAUUUUCAUGGUUCACUGACUGAGGAUGAUCAAUCCCUUCAUGAUCCAUAACUGAAAGAAUGAAUUGUCUGAGAACAUCAAAGAAAGACUCCUCAUGCCAUCCACAUUGCAGCAAAACUUGAGGACCUUGAACCUUUGAUUCAUAAUUUUACAACUCAGAAGCAUCUCUCCACACUCUGGAAACUGGAUACCCUUUGGAACCCUUAAGGUAAGGCUAAUCAGUGAAGUUUUUAUUCCCAGAAGACGGCAUCCUUGAAGUAAACAGCUUUAUCCCAAGAUCACAAAUUAAGUCUUCUCUACUACCAUGAGACUCUUAUCUUUGAAUUUUUCCCCUUAUUUAUGCUUCUAUAAACAAUAAGAGUAAAAAUAGUGUCUGUUGUGUGCACUCAUGGGGUAUACUUUUAUUUUGUGAAGGGUUUGUGGCCAAACUUAUACAUGGAUAACAGAUACGGUUUGGAUUGGUGUCCCCACCCAAACUCAUGUUGAAUUGUAAUCCCCAGUGUUGGUGGAGCAUGGUGGGAGGUGAUUGGAUUAUGGACAUGGUUUCUAAUGAUUUAACAUAAUCCCCUUAGUGCCGUCUUGUGAUAGUUUCUCAUGAGGUCUGGUUGUUUAAAAGUGUGUGGCACCCUCCCAUUUACUCUCCCUCUCCUGCUCUGCCAUGUGCAGAUGUGCCUCUUUUUCUUUCAACUUCUGGCAUGAUUGUAAGUUUCCUUAGGUCUCUCUAGCCAUGCUUCC
rnacentral:lncRNA from 1 species